rnacentral:rRNA from 1 species
AGCAGCCGCGGUAAUUCCAGCUCCAAUAGCGUAUAUUAAAGUUGCUGCAGUUAAAAAGCUCGUAGUUGAAUUUCGGGAUCAAUUUACCGGUCGUGCCUAUGGUACGUACUGGUAUUGUUGGUUCCUCCUUUCUGAGGAGCCGCGAUGUCAUUAACUUGGUGUCGCGGGGAAUCAGGACUGUUACUUUGAAAAAUUAGAGUGUUUAAAGCAGGCUAACGCUUGAAUACAUUAGCAUGGAAUAAUGAAAUAGGACGUUUGAUCCUAUUUUGUUGGUUUCUAGGGUCGACGUAAUGAUUAAUAGGGGUAGUUGGGGGCAUUAGUAUUCAAUUGUCAGAGGUGAAAUUCCUGGAUUUAUUGAAGACUAACUACUGCGAAAGCAUUUGCCAAGGAUGUUUUCAUUAA